rnacentral:rRNA from 1 species
UACGAGGGGGGCAAGCGUUGUUCGGAAUUAUUGGGCGUAAAGGGUGCGUAGGCGGUUUUGUAAGUCUUGUGUGAAAUCUCUGGGCUCAACUCAGAGACUGCACGAGAAACUGCAGGGCUUGAGUGUGGGAGAGGUGAGUGGAAUUCCUGAUAUAGCGGUGAAAUGCAUAGAUAUCAGGAAAAACACCUGUGGCGAAAGCGACUCACUGGACCACAACUGACGCUGAUGCACGAAAGCUAGGGGAGCAAACAGG